GCCUGCAUCGAAAGUGAUCGUGGCGUGCUGGUCGUCAGGUCAUUGAUAGUGCAGGCAGAUGAAGCGACGAGCCUUUCCCGUGUCUGCAGGACUCUCCGUUCCUGUCGGACCCUGGCGCUCGCCGACA